GCGGGAAUAGCUCAGCGCAGGCAGAGCGUCACCUGGAGAGAGGUGAAGGUCGCGGGUUCAAGUCCCGUUUCCCGCU
rnacentral:tRNA from 1 species